GGUUGUGUGACGCCGAGUGCAGCUUCCGUAGUUCGAGACGAGUGGCGAGCCACACUGAAGAUGUUUGUUCAGCAAUGACGACAAGGCGGAUUUUUGUUCUUCAACGUUCACGGCCUGGUAGACGAAGCCUUCGAAUUGGUGAGCGCAUGCUUUUCUCUAUAGCAGUGACCGUCUGGGUUUUCCCAUUCGGCUCUGCAACAACGGGGCUCAGUUAAGGGAGUGUCAGCGAAACGCAAAAGUUGUUUCGCUGUAGCUAAGCUAGACAGAUGAAGAUGGCAAGCUUCAAGCGGAGCUACGCGCCUUUGUCUUCGAGUAGCUUUAAGUUAGGCUUAACUGAGCCCACAUUUCGUUCGUCACAGUCAGCAACGGUUCGUGUAGUUGCUGACGCAGUUGCGCUCUGACGAACGGAAUGAGUUUUCUUGCGUCAACUGAAGAGGAACUCCGCGUUUCAGUUCGUAAGCCAAAUGGGUGUUACGGCAAAGGUAAGCACGAACUUCUGUAUCCACCUUCGAUUCCAAUUCCGUCGUGGUUAGGGUUAGCUUACGGUCGCGUUGUUAGGCGUGUAAUUCGUCGAGCACAUUUCUGCGUUUUCUUCAACGUUUUUACUUUCUGGUUGUGACUCGGUUACUUCUGAAAAUAAAGUGCGUACUUCGUCGUGUGUCCUUUUUCUCGCCGUCCCUUUGACGCAAACAUUCACUAGCUUACCGUUGAGGCAGUGACACUGCGACCACCCCAGUUGAUUUUCUUGCUGUGUCAUAUAUCUUGUCUUGCUCUGUGUAUAUUUGAUUCUUGCAAUAAAUGCUUGCUUCCUUAUUUCGGCUUUCUUCCUUCAUCAAUCCCCGGUACGCAAACAUGCACUAGCUUACUGGUUGAGGCAGGUAAAUUUUGAAUCCCCCGUUUGCCUUCCAGACGCUCCAAUCAUCUGCUCUACUACUGUCUUUAUCCAAGUGGAUGCAAGCACGUCCAGCAAUGAGGAGCACCACCUCGUGAAGUAUAUUGUGUUUCGUAUCGAUAUUUGCUAAUUUUUUGCUUCUAUCUGCAGGCUUCGUCCCUGGGGGUAAGAACACAUUCAAGAACCAUGGAGUCCCGUUGUUUGCUGUUCAUUCCCGAAAAGGAUGCCAGGUAUAGCUGGUGAAGAUGCAUCAUACAAGCCUUCAUGUCGUGUUGUCCUGAUCUUCCUCAAGCCCAAGGUUUUAUGUAUGGUGUUGCUUUUCAUUGUUGCGAAAUAAAUAUGAUCGAAAUUCUC